UGGGGAAUUUUGGACAAUGGGGGAAACCCUGAUCCAGCCAUCCCGCGUGUGCGAUGAAGGCCUUCGGGUUGUAAAGCACUUUUGGCAGGAAAGAAACGUCGCGGGUUAAUACCCCGCGGAACUGACGGUACCUGCAGAAUAAGCACCGGCUAACUACGUGCCAGCAGCCGCGGUAAUACGUAGGGUGCAAGCGUUAAUCGGAAUUACUGGGCGUAAAGCGUGCGCAGGCGGUUCGGAAACGAAAGAUGUGAAAUCCCAGAGCUUAACUUUGGAACUGCAUUUUUGAACUACCGGGCUAGAGUGUGUCAGAGGGAGGUGGAAUUCCGCNUGUAGCAGUGAAAUGCGUAGAUAUGCGGAGGAACACCGAUGGCGAAGGCAGCCUCCUGGGAUAACACUGACGCUCAUGCACGAAAGCGUGGGGAGCAAAAGCAGGAUUAGAUACCCUGGUAGUCCACGCCCUAAACGAUGUCAACUAGCUGUUGGGGUCUUCGGACCUUGUAGCGCAGCUAACGCGUGAAGUUGACCGCCUGGGGAGUACGGUC
rnacentral:rRNA from 1 species